rnacentral:rRNA from 1 species
AUUGAACGCUGGCGGCAGGCCUAACACAUGCAAGUCGAGCGGAUGAUGGGAGCUUGCUCCUGGAUUCAGCGGCGGACGGGUGAGUAAUGCCUAGGAAUCUGCCUGGUAGUGGGGGACAACGUUUCGAAAGGAACGCUAAUACCGCAUACGUCCUACGGGAGAAAGCAGGGGACCUUCGGGCCUUGCGCUAUCAGAUGAGCCUAGGUCGGAUUAGCUUGUUGGUGAGGUAAUGGCUCACCAGGGCGACGAUCCGUAACUGGUCUGAGAGGAUGAUCAGUCACACUGGAACUGAGACACGGUCCAGACUCCUACGGGAGGCAGCAGUGGGGAAUAUUGGACAAUGGGCGAAAGCCUGAUCCAGCCAUGCCGCGUGUGUGAAGAAGGUCUUCGGAUUGUAAAGCACUUUAAGUUGGGAGGAAGGGCUGUAGAUUAAUACUCUGCAAUUUUGACGUUACCGACAGAAUAAGCACCGGCUAACUCUGUGCCAGCCGCCGCCGUAAUAC